AUGGGCUACGAGGGUUUUCUCUUCACCCCGUUCCAGGCGGAGGAGGAGCAGGCGGAGGCGUUCGUCAGGGCCACCAGGGCGGAGCCGGAGAAGGAAGCGGCGAUCCUCAAGGCCAAGGAGGAGGCGGAGGCGGACCAGGAGCAGGCGUCCCUCAAGGCCAAGGCGGGGAAGGAGUGCGGCUCCAAGAGGAAGGCGGAGGAGGACCACGAGGAGGCACCGCCGGCAGUUGACGUGAUGAUACAAUUUAAUGGCGAGGAUGACUCGGAGGACGAGUUCUACAAGGCGUGCAUGGCGGACGACUCGGACGAAGGCCCGGAUGCGCGCUACGCCAAGUGCAAGGCGUGGUUCGAGAGCCGCAUGGAGGCCUGCAACGCUCGCCACCCUUGGUUGGUGGGCAAGGGCAAGGUGGCGGAUGCUGAUGCUGAUGCUGAUGGGUCUCUUGUGGUGCGAGAAGCUGAGAUCAUUGCUCUUGUGUGCAGUUCACCAAUGCUAUGCUAUCUACUACUCCCUCCGUCCGAAAAUACUUGUCAUCAAGAUAAAUAA
rnacentral:rRNA from 1 species